rnacentral:tRNA from 1 species
GGGCAGGUAGCUCAGUUGGCACGAGCGUCCGCCUGAAAAGUGGAAGGUCGGCGGUUCGAUCCCGCCCCUGCCCA